CCUACGGGUGGCUGCAGUGAGGAAUAUUGGUCAAUGGACGAAAGUCUGAACCAGCCACGCCGCGUGCAGGAAGACGGCUCUCUGAGUUGUAAACUGCUUUUGUAAGAGGGUAAACGCAGAUACGCGUGUCUGUAUGAAAGUAUCGUACGAAUCAGGCUCGGCUAACUCCGUGCCAGCAGCCGCGGUAAUACGGAGGAUUCAAGCGUUAUCCGGAUUUAUUGGGUUUAAAGGGUGCGUAGGCGGUCGGAUAAGUUAGAGGUGAAAUCCCGAGGCUCAACUUCGGAAUUGCCUUUGAUACUGUUCGGCUAGAGAGCAGUUGAGGUAGGCGGAAUGUAUGGUGUAGCGGUGAAAUGCUUAGAGAUCAUACAGAACACCGAUUGCGAAGGCAGCUUACCAAGCUACUUCUGACGUUGAGGCACGAAAGCGUGGGGAGCAAACAGGAUUAGAUACCCGAGUAGUC
rnacentral:rRNA from 1 species